UGACAGAUCUUGGUCCAGAAUUCAAUAAUAAGUUUAACUUGUAUAUUUGUAGAAGAUUGGGAAUAGAACAUAGCUUCACCAGUCCGUACCACCCACAAACCAAUGGCUUGGCUGAAAACGCUAAUAAAUCCAUAAAAAGAGCACUGCGGAAGAUGGUUGCUGACAAUGGGAGUAAUUGGGAUUAAUUACUUGAACCCAUUUUGUUUUCUUUGCAAACUAAAGUACACGCAACAACAAAAAUUCCACCUUUCCAACUAAUGUUUUGUGAUGACCCAGUGUUUCCAGAAGAAGUCUCAGAGAAUUACACGAUCCCAGAUCUGAAUAUGUUCGUGGAAGAUUUCUGCAAAGAGUACAGCAUAAAUAUGAAAUCGAGACAUGACGCUGACAUUGCGCUGGCCCUAAGUAACAUUGCUAAAGCACAAGAAAAACAACAAAGACGUUAUGCUAAAAGAAUUCUAAAUAUGGGGAAAUAACAUUUGAUGUUGGGGACUCUGGUCUG